ncrna:unclassified sequences ROOL RNA
UAUCUGAAUCAUGCUUACGACCAACUCGAUGAACAAAGCAUGCCAGUGCUUCGAGGUGCAUGGAAUAUUCAGCUCUCUUUAGCAGGGAUACCUGAUAAGGCAGAUCUGCUCACGUUCAGUGAUGUACGUGAGGAAGACGGAAACCGUCAACAACAAACAUGUAUCGCAGAGUUGCUCGCACCAAAUGGUACGGAGCUUUCGGACGCAACAAUAGACGCUCGCUGUGUGAGAAUAACCCUAAGGGAUGCUGGCUUGGCCGCUGGCACAAUAGAGGGAUUGCCAAUAAUGCGUUUUGCCUUGAAUCGAAGAAAUUCGAGUAUAACGAAAGUGGCCGGUAAUAGUAGCCGAAUGGCAAUUUUUACAAUCUGAAUGGACGGUGAAGUUGCAGGUAAUCAGUCCUGUACAGGUUUUGGCGAAAGCCGGGGCGAGAAGUUAAUGAUCGACGGAUUUUUGGCUCAGACUCGUCUCCCUGUUGACCGAAUGUUGGUGAAGGACAGCAAUGUAUGGCGAAGGCCAGGUCGUAAGUAUGAUUCAGG